rnacentral:rRNA from 1 species
CCUACGGGUGGCAGCAGUGGGGAAUAUUGGACAAUGGGCGAAAGCCUGAUCCAGCCAUGCCGCGUGUGUGAAGAAGGCCUUCGGGUUGUAAAGCACUUUCAGUGGGGAAGAAAGCCUUGGGGCUAAUACCCUCGAGGAAGGACAUCACCCACAGAAGAAGCACCGGCUAACUCCGUGCCAGCAGCCGCGGUAAUACGGAGGGUGCGAGCGUUAAUCGGAAUUACUGGGCGUAAAGCUCGCGUAGGCGGUCUGAUAAGCCGGUUGUGAAAGCCCCGGGCUCAACCUGGGAACGGCAUCCGGAACUGUCAGGCUAGAGUGCAGGAGAGGAAGGUAGAAUUCCCGGUGUAGCGGUGAAAUGCGUAGAGAUCGGGAGGAAUACCAGUGGCGAAGGCGGCCUUCUGGACUGACACUGACGCUGAGGUGCGAAAGCGUGGGUAGCAAACAGGAUUAGAUACCCGUGUAGUC